rnacentral:rRNA from 1 species
CCUACGGGUGGCAGCAGUGGGGAAUAUUGGACAAUGGGGGAAACUCUGACCCAGUGACGCCGCGUGAGUGAAGAAGUAUUUCGGUACGUAAAGUUCUAUCAGCAGGAAAGAAAAUGACAGUACCUGACUAAGAAGCUCCGGCUAACUACGUGCCAGCAGCCGCGGUAAUACGUAGGGGGCAAGCGUUAUCCGGAUUUACUGGGUGUAAAGGGUGCGUAGACGGGAGCUCAAGUCUGGAGUGAAAUGCCGGGGCUCAACUGAGGAACUGCAACUAAAACUGUGUAGCUGGAGUGCAGGAGAGGUAAGUGGAAGUCCUGGUGUAGCGGUGAAAUGCGUAGAUAUCAGGAGGAACACCAGCGGCGAAGGCGACUUACUGGACUGUAACUGACGUUGAGGCUCGAAGGCGUGGGGAGCAAACAGGAUUAGAUACCCGAGUAGUC